UGAGGAAUACAUCGGAAUCUACGUUUUCGUGGGGGAUAACGUAUGGAAACUUACGCUAAUACCGCAAACGACCUACGGGUGAAAGCAGGGGACCUUCGGACCUUGCGCGAUUGAAUGAGCCGAUGUCGGAUUAGCGAGGUUGGCGGGGUAAAGGCCCACCAAGGCGACCAUCCGUAACUGGUCUGAGAGGAUGAUCAGCCACACUGGAACUGACACACGGUCCAGACUCCUACGGGAGGCAGCAUUGGGGAAUAUUGGACAAUGGGCGCAAGCCUGAUCCAGCCAUACCGCGUGGGUGAAGAAGGCCUUCGGGUUGUAAAGCCCUUUUGUUGGGAAAGAAAUCCAGCCGGCUAGUACCUGGUUGGGAUGACGGUACCCAAAGAAUAAGCACCGGCUAACUUCGUGCCAGCAGCCGC
rnacentral:rRNA from 1 species